rnacentral:sRNA from 1 species
AUUCAAUCUAAUCAGUUUUAAUCAUUUUGUCUGCUAAUUAUGAAUUCAUCAAAUGCAUAAUUUUGCGAUGAUUACUUUAUUAAAUGAUAACAUGUAUUUUGAUUAUUAUCGAUUACGUGUACAGGGAUGUACCGGAGUAAGCGGAAUGACGUUAGACUUUCAAAAAGUUGAUCCUAAUCUAUUUUAUACCAAUGUACCUCUUUCACGAAUUUAUUCUUUGUUAUAAUGUCUUUAUGACUCUGUACUCAAUCAUCAACAAUUAAAAAAUGUAACUUACGCAAG